rnacentral:lncRNA from 1 species
UAACACAGCUGAAUUAUGGAGGGGCAAGAAGCUUGUGCCACGAUAGCCUGCUAAUACUGGAUGAAGGUGUCUGCUACAGACUUUUAGUUGGAUUAAAAGAAGCUCAGAGAGAACAAGUGACUCUCUUAAGGACUCACAGCUAGUGGGAGAGGUGCUGGGAUUUGAACUCAGACAGCCUGACCCUAACACCAGGGUUAACUGCAUCAUUUCUCAUCUCAGCCAUAAGUGUCCCUCCGCCGUGCUAUCCUGCCUUGGAGCCAGCUGACAAUGGACUGAAACCUCUACAAACUAUGGGGUCUUGCUAUGUCACCCAGGAUGGUCUCAAAUUCCUCGGUUCAAGUGAUCUUCCUGCCCAAGUCUCCGAGUAGCUGGAAUGACAGUCAUAUAAAGAUACAAGAAGAAGAUGGCUGUCUGCAAAUCAGGAAGACUGACCUCACCAGACAUUGGAUCUGCUGGUUGUACCUGGAUCUUGAACUUCCCAACCUUCAUAUAUGUGGAGCCUAUGUCAUUUGGUGUGGCCCUACUCAAGUGCUACAUCACUCAGAGGACUUCAACACCCCAGCAUUCAAAUGUAAUGUUGGAGAGGUCCUUGGCCGGCUGGACCCCACUUUGGCCGACUCGUCACACCCACCUGCAACCAGCGAGAUGGUGAGGACCACUCAGCAAGCCCACCAGCCACCAGCUUAGUGCUUGGGCUCCUGGAAACCACCCCCCACCCCUGGCCUCCUGGUUGUGUCGCUACCUGGUUCCACACUACAGAGGCACAGGGGGCAUAAGGGCCAUUGUCCUGAGCUGCAGAAGUGAACAACAGAUAGAGGGCCUCUCUCAGGCUCCUUCAUGAAAACUAAAGCUGACUGUAAAAGUGAAGAGAAUCUUGGAAAUAAAGGCACACCAGACCACCGUACUUGAAUUUGUACAUCUCUAGAACAAUACUUAACAGAACUCAGACUUUCAGCCUCCAUUCACAGCCUCUAAAAUCUCUGCUGGAAAUUUUUUUGAUGAUACCAUAAUGACAAAGAAGCCCACCUUCAGGAGAGCUUCCUUCUUGGAGACAUAAAGUUGCAGCUUCUCUCCACAUCCACCUACUUUGAAAGGAAAGACAGAACCUCCAGUCUGGGUGGAGGCUCAGACUUGUCAAUCUCUACCUACAUUCUUAUGAAUUUCCAAGCCAUGUUUGAAGGCAGCGUUAG